CCCUUAGAUGUUCUGGGCCGCACGCGCGCUACACUGACGAUGGCAACGAGUUUUUCCUUCGCCGAAAGGUGUGGGUAAUCUUUUGAAACAUCGUCGUGCUGGGGAUAGAUCAUUGCAACUUUUGAUCUUGAACGAGGAAUUCCUAGUAAGCGCGAGUCAUCAGCUCGCGUUGAUUACGUCCCUGCCCUUUGUACACACCGCCCGUCGCUACUACCGAUUGAAUGGUUUAGUGAGGACUCCUGAUUGGCGCCGCCGCCCCGGCAACGGAGCAGCGGACUGCCGAAAAGUUGUUCAAACUUGAUCAUUUAGAGGAAGUAAAAGUCGUAACA
rnacentral:rRNA from 1 species